rnacentral:lncRNA from 1 species
CAUACUACACACACAGUACACACACCACUACACACUACAUACAAACCACUACACACACUACACACACACACCACUACACGCACACUACACACACCACUACACACACCACUACACGCACACACUACACACACCACUACACACACACAGCAUUACACACACUACACACACCACUACACGCACACACCAUUACACACACACUACACACACCACUGCACACACUACACAUACACACCACUACACACACCAUUACACACACACUACAAACACCACUACACACACACUACACACACACCACUACACUACACACACCACUAUGCACACUACAUACACACACCACUACACUCACACACCAUUACACACACACUACACACACCAC